AGGAGGUAGUAGCAUCGACUCAAAUGAGUACGAGGAAGUAGCAGACAUCGCCCUCAGUUCUUCCGUGCUCUAUGCUCGAGUCGAGGUAAAUCUUGUCUGAAAUCUGAAUGUCUGCUUGUGUUGUGUGAGACCAAAGAUGUUUAGUCCAAUUUAUUUGUCAAUGUGUAGAUUUAUUUUGGUAAUUUGGUUCCUAUUCCAACCAACAACAGACAUGAAAGGAAACAAAAUCAAGAUUUGAAGGGCUAUUUCAGUCAAGGUUCUAGUGGAAGUGGACCAGGCACUCAUGCUAGUGGAGUUUGCCCCGAACACGAAAUAUAAGUUCAAUUUCAAGAGAAUAAUAGUGAAGAAGUUGCACUUGUUCAAGAAGAGAAUGCACCUAUUCCAAAUGCCAAUAGUGAAGAUGUUAAUGGUUUAAAGUUCAACUCGGAUCACAUUAUUUCUGAUCCGAGACUUCAUAUUCAAUUGAUUCUUUUGCUCCUAAUAUUAGAGAUGAAGUUAGAAUGACUUUCAUAGCUAAAGGUCCGACUCAACCAAAAUUGGUCAUAAUUUUCCUCGGUCACAUGGUAAAAGGAUCUUCUAAAAACAUUGGUUCGGACAACAUAGUUGGUUGGAAUAUAGUGUGGAUAAGAAUAAGGCUUAUUGCUUCGAUUAUUACCUUUUUAAGCAUGAUCGAAUGAAUGAUAAAUUUGGCCAUGAUGCAUUUACAAAAGUUGGCUUCUCAUAGUGGAGAAUUGUUUGUACGGAAUUUCCAAAACAUGUUGGUGGGCCUAAUAGCAUACACAAUGUUGCAGCAACAACAUUCCAUGAUUUUUGUAACCAAAGGUCAAGUGUUACUCAGAAGGUUUCAAAUUAUAGCCAAGAUGCAUUGGUCAAAUAUGAGACACGAUUGGAAACUUCCUUAAGUAUUGUUAGUCUUCUUGCAUUGCAAGCUGAAUCAUUUCGGGGACAUGAUGAGACUAGUACUUCAUUGAACAAAGUGAUUUUUUAGAAUUUCUUGAUUGGUACAAACAAAGGAAUGAAGAGGUGAGAAGAGCUUUUGAUGAAUUGUGUCCCAGAAAUUCCAAGAUGACUUCGAGGACGAUUCAAAAAGAACUUGCAAACUGUUGUGAAGAAGCAGUCACACAUGCAAUUAAAGAAGAAAUGGGGGAUUGUUUAUUCUCUGUUCUUGUUGAUGAAUCCUGUGAUAUAUCGGUUAAAGAACAAAUGGCUAUAGUUGUGAGGUUUGUCAAUAAAAAGGGUGAAGUAAUAGAAAGAUUUUUGGGCAUCAAGCAUGUGAAGGACACAACAUCGGAAUCAUUAAAGAAAGCAUUAGUUGAGAUGUUUAGUGAUCAUGGAUUAAUUGUUGCAAAACUUUGAGGGUAGGACACCUUGUAUUGAUUAGCAAUUAUGUGAAUUGUUAGUGAGAUUCUUUACUUGUAUGGUUAUUCUAAA